GUAAAGGUAGUUUAAAUAAAACAAAUGAUUUGCAAAAUUAUUUAUGGAUUUCCUCUUUAUU
rnacentral:tRNA from 1 species